AUGCGAGCUUAAGCCGUUAGGUGUAGGCGAAGCGAAAGCGAGUCUGAAUAGGGCGCAUGAGUUAGAUGGAUCAGACCCGAAACCGAGUGAUCUAGGCAUGGCCAGGUUGAAGGUUGGGUAACACCAACUGGAGGACCGAACCCACAUCCGUUGAAAAGGAUCGGGAUGAGCUGUGCCUAGGGGUGAAAGGCCAAUCAAACUCGGAGAUAGCUGGUUCUCUGCGAAAUCUAUUUAGGUAGAGCGUCAUCCGAAUACCCCCGGGGGUAGAGCACUGGAUGGGUAAUGGGGCCCCACAGGCUUACUGAUCCUAACCAAACUCCGAAUACCGGGGAGUACUAGAUGGCAGACACACAGCGGAUGCUAACGUCCGUUGUGGAGAGGGAAACAACCCUGACCUACAGCUAAGGCCCCCAAUUCAUGGCUAAGUGGGAAAGCAGGUGGGACGACCAAAACAACCAGGAGGUUGGCUUAGAAGCAGCCAUCCUUUAAAGAUAGCGUAACAGCUCACUGGUCUAAAUAAGGGUUCCUGCGGCGAAAAUGUAACGGGGCUAAAGAUAUGCACCGAAGCUUAGGGUUGCAGUUUACUGCAGCGGUAGCGGAGCGUUCCGUAGGCGAGUGAAGGCGAAGGGUAACCGACGCUGGACGUAUCGGAAGUGCGAAUGCUGACAUGAGUAGCGACAAACAGGGUGAGAUACCCUGUCGCCGAAAGACCAAGGGUUCCUACGCAAUGCUAAUCAGCGUAGGGUGAGCCGGCCCCUAAGACGAGCCCGAAGGGGGUAGUCGAUGGGAACACGGUUAAUAUUCCGUGACCUGGUGGAAUGUGACGGAUCUCGUGUGUUGUCUGAUCUUAUUGGAUUGAUCAGGCUUCGAAGAGGUUCCAGGAAAUAGCUCCACCAUAUAGACCGUACCCUAAACCGACACAGGUGGACUGGUAGAGAAUACCAAGGCGCUUGAGAGAACGAUGUUGAAGGAACUCGGCAAAAUACCUCCGUAAGUUCGCGAGAAGGAGGCCCGGUUCCUAGGCAACUAGGGGCUGGGGGCACAAACCAGGGGGUGGCGACUGUUUACUAAAAACACAGGGCUCUGCGAAGUCGCAAGACGACGUAUAGGGUCUGACGCCUGCCCGGUGCCUGAAGGUUAAAAGGAGGGGUGAG
rnacentral:rRNA from 1 species